rnacentral:rRNA from 1 species
AACGAACGCUGGCGGCAUGCCUAACACAUGCAAGUCGAACGAGACCUUCGGGUCUAGUGGCGCACGGGUGCGUAACGCGUGGGAACCUGCCCUUAGGUUCGGAAUAACUCCCCGACAGGGGUGCUAAUACCGGUUAAUGUCUUCGGACCAAAGAUUUAUCGCCUUUGGAUGGGCCCGCGUUGGAUUAGCUAGUUGGUAGGGUAAAAGCCUACCAAGGCGACGAUCCAUAGCUGGUCUGAGAGGAUGAUCAGCCACACUGGGACUGAGACACGGCCCAGACUCCUACGGGAGGCAGCAGUGGGGAAUAUUGGACAAUGGGCGAAAGCCUGAUCCAGCGAUGCCGCGUGAGUGAUGAAGGCCUUAGGGUUGUAAAGCUCUUUUACCCGGGAUGAUAAUGACAGUACCGGGAGAAUAAGCUCCGGCUAACUCCGUG